rnacentral:misc_RNA from 1 species
UUUCCGUAGGUGAACCUGCGGAAGGAUCAUUCAUAAUAAAGUGUUUUAUGGAACUUUUUAAAAAUCCAUAUCCACCUUGUGUGCAAUGUUAGAUCUCGUCAAUCUUGGCGAGAUUUUUAUACAUCAACUCAUUCUUUAACUAAUUUGUCUGAAAAAUAUUAUGAAUACUUAAUUCAAAAUACAACUUUCAACAACGGAUCUCUUGGCUCUC